UUGACAUUGCGGUGAUGAGAUGAGAGUCUCCAAAGUUCGUCGCCGAUCUUGAGCCACCGAUCACCAAUUUGGAGCCACCAUUCAUAGAUUUGAAGCAACUGUUUAUCGAUUUGGAUCCACCAUUUGUUGAUCUAAAGCAAUCAUUCAUCGUUAUCUCAACAAAUUUCAAUGAAUGGAUUACAAUUUCGAUGGUUUUGGAGAUGAAAGUAAUGAGGAGCUUGAGCUAUAUGUAGUGUUGCAAGUUGUAAUGCAAGAAUUGUACGCCUUAUGUGUUGUAGCAUAUAUUGCCAUUGAAAUUGUCUUGAAGAGGUAUAUUCAUAAGUAUCCUUGUACCGUUAUUCGAGGGCCCAAUCAAUUGCUAGAACAGAUGGACCACAUUAAUCGGCUAGUGAGAGAAAGCAACAUUGCAUGCAUUAAACAAAUUCGUAUGGAUAGGCGUUGUUUUAUGACGUUAUGCCAUAUGGUUCGUACAAUAGGUGGGUUAGGGCAUUCAAAAAAUGUUACCUUAGAAGAGAAGAUUGCCUUGUUCCUCUACGUCUUGGCACAUGACCUAAAAGUACGAAAACUUAAGUUCAAUUUCUUUAGGUCCGGAGAAACUGUAAGUCGACAUUCCAAUGAUGUUCUAAAAGCUGUGUUGCACCUCCAAGGCCACUUACUUAGGACACCAAACCCUAUAACACAAGCAUGCAUUGAUCCAAGAUGGAAUUGCUUCCAGGUAAAUGUAGUUUGUAAAAUAUUUAAUAAAAUACAUUACACAUUUUUUUUUUACAACUCAUAAUUAUUACAAUGUCUUCUAUUUAUUAGAAUUGUCUUGGAGCACUUGAUGGAACCUAUAUUAAAGUUUGUGUACCAGUGGUUUAUCAAGCACAGUAUAGAACACAGAAGGGAGAUAUUGCUACCAAUGUUCUAGAAGUUUGCUCCUAAGACAUGAACUUCAUAUAUGUGUUACCGAUGAGGGAAGGGUCAGCUGCAGACUCUAGGGUUUUGAGGGAUGCGAUUAAUCAACCCAAUGGCUUAAGAAUUCCAACUGGUAAUUAAGAAAUAAUUAACUUUGCUUGAUAGAAUUACUAAGUUUUAUUUAAUAAUGGAUUCUAAUAUAUAGCAUCUCAUAUAGGUUACUACUACCUAGUAGAUGUCGGGUAUACAAAUGGACAAGGAUUCCUAGCACCUUAUUAGAGCCAACGAUACCAUUUGUCUGUUUGGAGAGCAAGGGCCACUCCAACUAAUUAUCAAAAAAAAUUUAAUACGAAACAUGUAUCAGCUCGAAAUGUCAUAGAAAGGUAUUUUGGAUUGUUGAAAAUAAGAUGGGCAAUACUUCGUUGUGCGUCAUACUAACCCAGUAGAACUCAAAAUCGUAUCAUCACAGCAUGUUAUUUGUUGCACAACCUCAUUCGUCGAGAGAUGCCUAUUGACCCCAUAGAAGAGAGGCUAAAUAAUGACAUAGAAGAUCAACCUCAAUUGGGAGAUGAUGUUGUUGACACCGUUGAGACAUCUAAUGAGUGGACUGGGUGGCAGAAUACACUUGCAAUACAACUAUACAACAAUUGGUUUGCUAGUAGGGAGGUAGGACAAGGAUAGUUUCAAUAUUUGUAAAAGUACUUGUUACGAGUAUGAUGUAGUUUCAUUUGAUUUGUACUUGGAACUUGUAUUAGCUUGUGGAUGUUGAACCACUUUUUGCAAAAAUUGUAUGGUUUUUGUUGGCCAUUGCAUAUUUUUUAAGUGACUUAUGUCUCAUGGAUUUGUUACAUGUAUGUAUGGGUAUGAAAUUUUUUGAGUAUACAAAUUUAUUUAUGUAUUGACUUGUUUUGGCAUGUUAACAAGUUGAUAAUCACAUUGUGGAGACUAACAUGCACACUUUUCUUUGUUCUUCUUUGCUAGGCAUGGAUAGUGAAGUGUCUAGUUAUCCUAAAAAAGUAAAGGAGAAAGUUGAUCCGUCAAAACCAAGGCGAUUGUGGUGCCCACAAGAAGAGGAAUGUCUUAUUAAUGUCGUGAUGCACAUUAUCAACAAUGGAAUGAAAUAGGACAAUGCCUUCAAGGCCAGCUACCUUAUGAAAUUAGAGGAGAAAUUGUUGGAGAUGCUACUCAGGACAAACCUUCGCGGCACUCUCCACAUCAAAUCAAAGAUAAAGAUAGGGAAGAACACUACAAUUGUGUAGCAAGAAUGCUUGGUACCAGUGGUUUUGGAUGGAACGACACCGAAAAAAGAAUUGAUGUUGAGAAUGAUAGUGUCUGGGAAGCAUACAUUCGGAGGGAAAACGAUGUGAAAAACCUACGAAACAAAAGUUUUUCAUAUUUCGACUCAUGGAUCCACAUAUUUGGUAAGGAUUGAGCUACAGGGGAGUUUGCUAAAGGCCUGCUGAUGCAGUUGAUACUAUAAAUGCUGAGGAAGAAUUGUUGUUCAAUAGUCUUGCAGAUGAUGGCACAUUUCUUGAACAUAUGGGUAUGAAUAGUCAUAUCAGCGAAGGAAUAAAUUAUUCCAACUCAUUAAGUUAAGGGCCACCUGAAAGUUCUACAAAAAAGAAUGACAACAAGAAGAGGCCUAGAGGUAAUGAUGAUGUAGUGGAAGGGUUGUCCAUGAUUGCUAACCAAUUGGGUGAGGUAUUUUCUACCACAAAUGAAAAACCGGAUUUCAUUGGUCAAAGGAUGGGUUAUGAACAUGAUCUCGUAUCUAAACGGCCAAGUUUGAAUGAUGAACUUAUUAAAUUGCCAAUUACGCUUGAUGAAAGGUGAGAUGCUUGUGAGAUCAUAUCACAAAGUGCUCAAAAGCUUGACAUGUUCUUCAGCUUGACACAUGAUAACAAUCUAAGGUGGGUGAUGAGGUUGCUACGUAGGAGUGCUCCAUGACAGACUCGUGACUCUUUUAUGUCCUUCUACGGACUUAGAUUUUUUGAUUACUCUAAUGCAUGUAAUAAAGACUAACUUUCUACUAUUUUUUUUUUUUUGUUGAACUACUCAUAUUUUGCUACUUCAUGUUGC